GACGAACGCUGGCGGCGUGCCUAAUACGUGCAAGUUGAGCGCUGAAGGUUGGUACUUGUACCAACUGGAUGAGCAGCGAACGGGUGAGUAACGCGUGGGGAAUCUGCCUUUGAGCGGGGGACAACAUUUGGAAACGAAUGCUAAUACCGCAUAAAAACUUUAAACACAAGUUUUAAGUUUGAAAGAUGCAAUUGCAUCACUCAAAGAUGAUCCCGCGUUGUAUUAGCUAGUUGGUGAGGUAAAGGCUCACCAAGGCGAUGAUACAUAGCCGACCUGAGAGGGUGAUCGGCCACAUUGGGACUGAGACACGGCCCAAACUCCUACGGGAGGCAGCAGUAGGGAAUCCUCGGCAAUGGACGAAAGUCUGACCGAGCAACGCCGCGUGAGUGAAGAAGGUUUUCGGAUCGUAAAACUCUGUUGGUAGAGAAGAGCGUUGGUGAGAGUGGAAAGCUCAUCAAGUGACGGUAACUACCCAGAAAGGGACGGCUAACUACGUG
rnacentral:rRNA from 1 species